rnacentral:rRNA from 1 species
AGUCGCCGCGGUAAUACGAAGGGGGCUAGCGUUGUCCGGAUUUACUGGGCGUAAAGGGCGCGUAGGCGGACUGAUAAGUCAGGGGUGAAAUCCCAAGGCUCAACCUUGGAACUGCCUUUGAUACUGUUUGUCUUGAGUUCGAGAGAGGUAAGUGGAACUGCGAGUGUAGAGGUGAAAUUCGUAGAUAUUCGCAAGAACACCAGUGGCGAAGGCGGCUUACUGGCUCGAAACUGACGCUGAGGCGCGAAAGCGUGGGGAGCAAACAGGAUUAGAUACCCCUGUAGUCCCUGUCUCUUAUACA